GAUGAAGAACGUAGCGAAAUGCGAUAAGUAAUGUGAAUUGCAGAAUUCAGUGAAUCAUCGAAUCUUUGAUCGCACAUUGCGCCCCCUGGUAUUCCGGGGGGCAUGCCUGUCCGAGCGUCAUUACAACCCUCAAGCUCAGCUUGGUGUUGGGCCCCGCCGCCCCGGCGGGCCCUAAAGUCAGUGGCGGUGCCGUCCGGCUCCGAGCGUAGUAAUUCUUCUCGCUCUGGAGGUCCGGUCGUGUGCUCGCCAGCAACCCCCAAUUUUUUUCAGGUUGACCUCGGAUCAGGUAGGGAUACCCGCUGAACUUAAGCAUAUCAAUAAGCGGAGGA
rnacentral:misc_RNA from 1 species